UCGGCGACCGGCGCACGGGUGCGUAACGCGUGUUCAACCUGCCUCAUACCCGGGAACAGCCCAUCGAAAGAUGGAUUAAUGCCCGAUGUUGUCCCCUGCGCCUCCUGGCGCUCGGACCAAAGAUUCAUCGGUAUGGGAUGGGAACGCGUCCGAUUAGCUAGACGGCGGGGUAACGGCCCACCGUGGCGACGAUCGGUAGGGGUUCUGAGAGAAGGUCCCCACACUGGAACUGAGACACGGUCCAGACUCCUACGGGAGGCAGCAGUGAGGAAUAUUGGUCAAUGGUCGCAAGACUGAACCAGCCAAGUAGCGUGAAGGAUGACUGCCCUAUGGGUUGUAAACUUCUUUUGCAGGGGAAUAACCGGCGCCACGGGUGGCGUCCUGCAUGUACCCUGCGAAUAAGCAUCGGCUAAUUCCGUGCC
rnacentral:rRNA from 1 species